AUUGAACGCUGGCGGCAGGCCUAACACAUGCAAGUCGAACGAGUGGCGGACGGGUGAGUAAUGUCUGGGAAACUGCCUGAUGGAGGGGGAUAACUACUGGAAACGGUAGCUAAUACCGCAUACCAUCGGAUGUGCCCAGAUGGGAUUAGCUAGUAGGUGGGGUAAAGGCUCACCGAGGCGACGAUCCCUAGCUGGUCUGAGAGGAUGAACAGCGAGACUGGAACUGAGACACGGUCCGGACUCGUACGGGAGGCGGGAGUGGGGAAUAUUGCACAAUGGGCGCAAGCCUGCUGCAGCCAUGCCGCGUGUAUGAAGAAGGCUUUCGGGUUGUAAAGUACUUUCGGCGGGGAGGCGUUACCCGCAGAAGAAGCACCGGCUAACUCCGUGCCAGCAGCCGCGGUAAUUC
rnacentral:rRNA from 1 species